GCUGGGUGGCUCAGUUGGUUGAGCGUCUGACUUUGGCUCAGGUCAUGAUCUCGCUGUUCGUGAGUUCGAGUCCCAUUUCGGGCU
rnacentral:tRNA from 1 species